rnacentral:tRNA from 1 species
AAAAGAAAUGCCCCCACGCAGGAUUGAACUACGGACCUUUGGUUUACAAGACCAACGCUCUACCACUGAGCUAUAAGGGC